GUGUGAGCAAGUGAAAUUGGAAAGAAACAGGCACAUGGGUAGCCACAGGGCAUUCGGGCUCUUUUGAAGUACUGUGGUCUCAGCACGCGAUGUUAGCCUGUGAGUCGAGCUUUUGUCAGUAAUGUUAAUCAUACAUGCUAGUUAUUUCUGGUAAAACGUGAUUUUAAAGCUCAAAUCUACUUAUGAAGUCAUACUAACACAUGGGAAAUCAUGCUUUCAUGGUCUGCUUUACUUAAAAAUAAGGAAGCAGGAAGGUAAUGUAGGACUGAGCAUUUCUUUAAGAUGUUUAAUGAAAUUACGCUUGGUGAUCCUACCUGACAUGCAGCAUCUCAGGUGCUUAAGACAGAUCAGGAAAUCAAAACUAGUCACCACCGGGUGUUCUCUGAGCACAGGCUUUCCUCCUCCCCAUUUCCCAAGAGGAGGCACAGAGCUCCUGGGAUCACACUGGUGUGUGAAUGUGAGGGUUCUGUCACAGUGGGUAAAGGAGUGAUUCCUAUCCAAAGUGAGCCGCCCUGAAAACUAACAAUUUAUCACAAAGAAAACGGGACGAACAUCCCACACACCAAACUCCUCCGCAGAACUCACUGUCCUGGAAACUAUGAGCCACACGAACUCAAAACAAGAGUCCUGGGCCUGUCAUAGAAUACGGGAGGGCCCAGAAAAACCCACUUGCUCUAGAUUUCCUGAGAAAUCUGACAACAGCAAUGUGAAAGCUAGUAACAGCAAGCUUCCCCAGCCAAGGGGCUGUGUGAGCUUUCAUCACAGCCUGCCUCUGGCACGGUCAGCCACGCCACCCCUAAGCCUAGGUCUGCACUGCACAUCCAAGUGGGCUCCUCUCCGCCUCCUGCCCAGCCCUCCCCGGCUCCCUGCACGCUGGACCCGCCACCCUCAGAGUUCCUGGGUUUGCAAGUCUAGGCUGCACCCGGGACCAACCUCCAUGUUAAGCUCGAAGAACAAGCCACACUGUCCCAACUUUGAGAACGCCGCAGAGUUUGGAGAAUCACAAAUGCAAAAUGAACCCGGAAGCACAGAGAGCAGAGUCCUGUCUAGCGGGGUCAUACAGAGAGAGAGACUACAUUUCCCAGAAGUCUACGCGAAGGACUACCCGGAACUAAGGAAGGCAAAGAAUUUAAAGCGCAUGGAUUGUAUGUAACUGGAAUUACGCUGCUUUUUAAAAUCCCAAAUUUACAAAGGGCAUUUUGGGAAUAUGAGUCCAGCCUUUAACGGUAAUAUGUAUUAGAUUUACUUCUUACUCUGAUCAAUACUGUGAGUUAAAAAGCUCAGGGGUACCUAGAAUCUUAUGGGGGGCAGAAAAAAAUCACAUUGAGUCAAUUUUACUUUAAAAUAACGGAGCAAGAAGCUACUUUAGGGCACACCACAAACUCUUUAGGAUAGUUUUUGAAACCAAGUUUCCUGGAAAUAUUCUGAAAUCUCAGCUACUCUGGGGUUUGAGACAAAAGAAUCACAAGUCCCAAAUUACACAGUACCAAAAGAGAUGGGGGCUACUCACUGGUGAAGCACUUGCCUGGAGUGAAGGAGACCUUGGUUUCACACACAUUAUGACACUAAAUC
ensembl:antisense Zfp85os zinc finger protein 85, opposite strand